rnacentral:rRNA from 1 species
UUUUUUGGAGAGUUUGAUCUUGGCUCAGGACGAACGCUGGCGGCGUGCCUAAUACAUGCAAGUCGAGCGCGGGAAGCAAGGGAUCACCCUUCGGGGUGUGAACUUGUGGAACGAGCGGCG